GACGAACGCUGGCGGCGUGCUUAACACAUGCAAGUCGAACGGAAAGGCCCUGCUUUUGUGGGGUGCUCGAGUGGCGAACGGGUGAGUAACACGUGAGUAACCUGCCCUUGACUUUGGGAUAACUUCAGGAAACUGGGGCUAAUACCGGAUAGGAGCUCCUGCUGCAUGGUGGGGGUUGGAAAGUUUCGGCGGUUGGGGAUGGACUCGCGGCUUAUCAGCUUGUUGGUGGGGUAGUGGCUUACCAAGGCUUUGACGGGUAGCCGGCCUGAGAGGGUGACCGGCCACAUUGGGCCUGAGAGACGGACCAGACUCCUACGGGAGGCAGCAGGGGGGAGUAUUGCACAGUGGGCGGAAGCCUGAGACGACGACGCCGCGUGCGGGAUGACGGCCUUCGGGUUAUGAACCGCUGUCGCCUGUGACGAAGCGUGAGUGACGGUAAUGGGUAAAGAAGCACCGGCUAACUACGUG
rnacentral:rRNA from 1 species